GACGAUGAAAUCGCAAUAUCAUAGAAUGGAUGUGGUAGCUCAAAUAUUUCUGAUGAGUUUUGUUGCCAGUGCUCAAUUAUAAUUUGAAACACUAAGGUUGGUCUUGCGAGUGUUCUUUCUUAAAUAUCAAAAUUACUCAAUAUAAUCAAUAAAAUGGAUCAAGAGGAGACAUCAGUUCUAAGAUCAAAAAGAGAUAUUGUGGAGGAAAUUCUGGUUAUUCUGUACAAUAAUAGAAGAAUCGAGAAUGGUAAACUCCAAAAUGGAAUAUUUUUAAGAGAAACCACUAAUUUUCUUCGUGCGAAAAAUAUCAGCAACCACUUUACACAUAAUGAUAUAUCAGAAGCACUGCUAAAAUACAAAUAUUGCUACUGCAUGAAGAAACAGCCAGACGAAGAAUUCACGAUUUUAUACGUAAACGUUGGAAAAAUUAAGAAACUUGUUAAAAAGACUUCAAAAAGAGUUUCUCAAGAACAAUCUUCAGAUUUGAGCGAUAACGAUAUUGAAAAUUUAUUUGAUUUUCAUCUUAAAUAUGGGUUAACAGUAAAACUAAAGGAUAAUGAAUACUUAACAUUAUCAAGGAAAAAUUGCUGUGUUUGCCAAGAAACCUUUGCUGAUAAUAAGGAAUUUAAAAAACAUAUGAAAGCUCAUGGCGAGACAUUCACUAUUGCUCAUACAAAUCGGGUUCAAAAAAUGUUUAACAUGACUACCGAAAUGCAUUUAAAGGCACGAAAGUUCGUGUUUAAAAUCAGGACUGAAAAGGAUAUAAGAGUAACAGUGGAUAAAGUUUUUAUUGUCUUACCGGAAAAUAAUUUUCUUUAUGCUCUCAGAUUAUGUAAAAAUGGAAACUGCAUAAGCUUUGAUUUAUUUCAAGAUGUCCUAUUGAUGAUGAAUCAUCCUUAUUCUAUUCUUCUCUUCUAUAGACUUAAUAUGAAGUCUUCAUUUUUAGCACAGUACUAUUUUACGGUAAAUUAAAAUACGGCUUACCUAGAUAUCAGACUUGAACAUUAAAAUUUGGUGUGUUUCACACUAAUUGUUGCUGGUGAGCAUAUAAAUUUGUGGUUUCUAUCUUUGCAUCGCUUCAUAAUAUUUAGAGUUGGUUCUAUUUAUAGAUAAAAUGGUAGACUAGACUAGACAUAUAAUUGUAAUUCUUAAUUAACCUAAAGCAUAAACAUUUUUUACAUUAAAAAAUAUGUGUGAAAAGCGCAUUAAUUUUUCGCAUUAAUGCUAUAAAUCAAUGUAAAUCAAUUUUUUGCUGGCCAAGUCUACCUUUUAAUCAAUAAAAAUAUGAAAUUUUAAAUAUAAAGUGAUUUUAAUACGCAAAUUUGGACGCUCGCCAACGAUAUGAUUAAUGUGCAUCAUAUUAAAAAUUCAAUGUGAAAGUGUGAUGACAUCGAAAUAGCUGGAAUAUAAAUAAUAAUUUUAAAUAUAUAUAUUUUUUAGUUGAGUCUUAGGGUAACAAUAAAAAGUGAUACACAAGUAAUUUCAAUCAGAAGCAGAAUGAAAUGUGAUCCUUUGCCACUAUACGAACCAUCCGAGGAGAUGAAGAAACUAACUCGGAUAAAGUUUAACAGCACAAAUCUUUCUCUUGUGGAAGAUCAUUUACUGAAAAAAAUUGACUUCUUCAACCGGUGUGGACCAACCAAAGAGAAUUAUAUUGAUUUUUGGAAAACAUUCCUUGAGAUGGAGGAUUGUGCUGCUACUGAGCAGUAUAAAAAAUUAGAUAAAUUGGGUGUAAAGUUGACCGAAAUACAGAGACAUUAUUAUGCGCUGAAGAUUCCUAAUGUUUCUGAACACUCACCGUCGAUCGUUGAGAAUAGUGAAGUAAUUGUUGCACUGUCAGAAAAGCCUCACGGUCAAUUAAGUGGUGUAGUGCAUAAAGUCAAAAAAAAUUAUAUAAUAAUAAAAUUUGAGCUGGACAAGAAAAGCAAUAAACUGGACUUAAAAAAAUUGUACAAUGUACAUUUUUUCCCGAUUCGAAUUACAAUUCAGACAGAGAGGCGAGCACUUGAUUUCGUUGCAUCGGAUAAGAUAUCCUGGUUCUUUUUUCCAGAACUCGCUUCCAUGAAUGUCAUUGAUCA